GUCUUUUUGGUUAUUUAAUAUAAAGUCUGACCUGCCCACUGAAUUUAUUUUGAAGGGCCGCAGUAUUUUGACUGUGCAAAGGUAGCAUAAUCAUUAGUCUUUUAAUUGAAGGCUGGUAUGAAUGGUUGGAUGAGGUACAAGCUGUGUCAUAAAAAUUAAUUUUUGAAUUUACCUUUUUAGUCAAAAGGCUAAAAUGUUGUUAAAAGACGAGAAGACCCUAUAGAGCUUUAUAUAAUUUAUAUUUAAAUUAUUAAGAUUUUUUAAAUUUAAUUAUUUUAUUAUAUUUUGUUGGGGUGACAAUAAAAUUUAUUGAACUUUUAUUUUUAUUAAUCAUUUAUUUAUGUUUAUAUGAUCCAGUUUUAUUGAUUAUAAAUUUAAGUUACCUUAGGGAUAACAGCGUAAUUUUUUUUGAGAGUUCUUAUCGACAAAAAAGAUUGCGACCUCGAUGUUGGAUUAAGAGUAAUUUUGGGUGUAGAAGUUCAAAGUUUAAGUCUGUUCGACUUUUAAAUUCUUACAU
rnacentral:rRNA from 1 species